AGGCUAAAGGCUACCAUGUUGGACCAGUAUAUGAUGAUGUUUUGGCUAUGGCUUGGUUUUUCCUUGAGCUAAUUGUCAAGUCAAUGGCAUUGGAGAAGACUCGUCUUUUCUAUCAUUACCUUCCCACAGAUGAAGAUAUCCCUCUGAUGCAAUUGAAAGAAGGUGUCUUUAGAUGUAUAAUGCAGUUGUAUGAUUGCCUUCUAACAGAAGUGCAUGAGCGCUGUAAGAAGAGGUUGAUUGAGCUUGGCAAAACGUUUGAAUGGCAGUUUGGCCUUCUUUUGUUAUGAUCUUUUGUCCAUCAUUGAACCUCGCCAAGUUUUUGAAUUGAUUUCCUUGUACCUUGACAAGUUUUCUGGCGUGUGCCAAAUGGUUCUGCAUGACUGCAAGCUUACAUUUUUGCAGAUUAUAUGUGAUCAUGACCUUUUUGUGGAAAUGCCUGGGAGAGACCCUUCAGAUAGGUAAUUCAUCAAUGUGACACUUCUUCUUUGGUACUUCAUCACUUUUUAUAUAGAUAACAUUGGAAUUCUAGGUGAUUUUAGAAUCUCAAAGUAGAUCAA